GGGAAAUUUCUUAUUGGAGAAAAUUAUGGCUGCAACUGUGGAGGAAAAUAAGGCAGUGAUUCCAAUUUGACAAAAAUCACGGAAAACGAGCUUAAUGGUUCUAGUUACUUAGAGUGGAGCAACAGAGUCCACAUUUAUCAGCAAAGUACUGACAAAGACAUCGCCUUUCAAGUGAUCCACCCAUUGAUGACAUGAGACAAACGUUACUGAGGGAGGAUGCUUGGUUAUUCUUACAGUUUUG
rnacentral:misc_RNA from 1 species